rnacentral:rRNA from 1 species
UACGUAGGCAGCAAGCGUUGUUCGGAAUUACUGGGCGUAAAGAGUGUGUAGGCGGUGCUCUAAGUUCGGUGUGAAAUCUCCCGGCUCAACUGGGAGGGUGCGCCGGAAACUGGAAUGCUUGAGCGUGGGAGAGGAAAGCGGAAUUCCUGGUGUAGCGGUGAAAUGCGUAGAUAUCGGGAAGAACACCUAUGGCGAAGGCAGCUCUCUGGGACGGUACUGACGCUGAGACGCGAAAGCGUGGGGAGCGAACAGG